rnacentral:rRNA from 1 species
AACCUAAAGAAUUUGGCGGUAUUUUAUUCUAUUUAGAGGAAUUUGUACUUUAAUCGAUAAUCCUCGAUUUAUCUUGCUUUAUUUUGUAAUCAGUAUGUAUACCGCCGUUAUAAGUUUAUUUUAUUAGAAAAAUAAUUUACUUUAAUCUAUAUAUGAUAUAUUUCAGGUCAAGGUGCAGCUUAUAAUAAAGUAGUUAUGAAUUACAAUAAGAUUUGAUUAAACGGAUUUAAAUUUUAAAAUUUUAUUAAAGGUGGAUUUAUUUGUAAUUUUAUAAAUAAAAUUAAUUUGAUAUAAGCACUAAAAUAAGCACACAUCGCCCGGUCGCUCUA